AGAACACGGCCGGGAUCGAACCGGCAGUCUUCUGAUUAGAAGUCAGACGCGUCCAUUGGGCCACAAAAUA